UUGAUUCCUGCUCUCCGUUAAGAGAUCAUUAUCGUUCGGCAUCGCAUUUUUUUUCUUUGUGUCUGCCGCUCUGUGUCCGUGUGUGUGCGUGUCUGUGUGUGCGUCUGUGCAGAGGUCACGCCCUGCCCCGCCGACUCUCUCUCUCUUUCCAGCGAUCAAGCAUACGAGCACGAAUACCGUUCGUGUCGCACGGCGGCCGCAGCAAUGUCCGCCCACGACAACGGAAGCAACGACAGCAACAUCCGCACUUGCAUCUCUUCCGUCUCCAGUAGCGGCUCCAUGCACCACACCGCAGGCGAUGCAGCCGUCACCGGCGUGGCCCCUGGCUGCGAGUCAAUGAAGCACCUCGAUGCAUCCGCGGCUACGAGGACGGCGGUCCCCUUUCCGGACACAUCCGCAGCCCUAACACCGGAUGGCAGCAGCUCCUUGGCGCGCGCAGUGGGGUCGAGCACGAACCAAGACAUGCCCAGCACCACCAGCGCCGUGCCGCCGCAGCCCUCCUCGCGCUCGCAAAACAGCCUGCUUUCAUCGUUCCGCACCUCAGCGCCGCUGGCGGCGACACCCCUUCCCACCUCCUUCGCCGGCGGCAGCGUCGCAUACCAGCAUCAGUCCAUCGCUGUAGCGGACAGUAUCGUGCGCAGCAGCUCCGCCCUCUUUUCGCACGAGCAGGCGGUAGCGUUGCGCAGCGCCAAGCGAGACGUGAGCACGUCGCCCCCUUCGAGACACAUCGGCGGCGACAGUAGUCGCUCUGCCACUCCGCUGACAGUGUCCACGACCGCCUCGCUGGACCCGCGUGGCGAGAACACUCCCAUCCAGCAGAACGCACUGGAGGUGCUGCAGCGGGCUGUAAACCACGUGCGCUCCAACUUGCAGCAGAGCAACGUCGUCAAACCGUCCGUGGCUUCCGGCACUGAGGAUGAGCGCACGGGGCACAGCAUUGCGCAGGCCGUGAGGGCCGCCGUUCGGGCGGCAGAGAUGAUUGAUCAGGAGAACGUGAACAACAGCUUAAACGACAGCGACGUCGACGACGCGCCGAGCGAGGCGACAACAGGGACACGGCGCAGUCACAGGGCGAUGGACUGGCGCGACGACGACGACUCCAUCGUCUCCCCUAGCACCUUCUUCCACUCGGAUGCGUCGCUGCAGGUGCGCAGCAACCGCGUCAUGGAGUGCAUCGUGGCGAAGGGGCACGCAGCGCAGACCGAGGAGGAGCUCACCUGGCUCUACCGCCACGCCCUACUCACGUCCCUGCUGGAUACCGAGGACCUGCAGCGCAUUGUUCCGCUCUCCCUCCACCGCGAGUACACCCAUGGCGAGCUCAUUCUCGACUUCGGCGCACCGGUUCAGCACCUGUACGUGGUGGUGUGGGGCAGCGUGGACGUCUUCCGGAUCGACUCCGUUAACAAUGAGCAGAAGGCAAUGGAGGGGGCGUUUCGCGUGGCGUCUCACCAAAGCGUGUCGAUGAAGCUGCGCUCGAUGAGCGGCUCCCGUGACCGUCACGGCAGCCUCUCCUCGUACGGCCUCCGACUCUCCGACGGGCAGGACGCCUCCACGAACAGCGACAUUCCAUCGGACGCGGUCUACACCCACGUCGCGAGCUUGUGCCCAGGGCAAGUGUUUGGCAUCGAGAACUGCGUCUUCAACACCACCUCGCAGUACGUCUUCCGCGCCGGCAGUGCGAUGUCCAAGACGGUCGUCUCGCUACUACCGUACGAGGAGCUGCAGCCGGUGCUCUCCGGCAAUCCCCGCUUCGCCCAGGGCGUCGGCGUCUGCAUCACCGACUCCAUGGACGUCUUUGGCCCCAUCCGUGAGUUCUGCCGCUACGUCUUCUCGCCCACCAGCGCGCAAAACGAGUACCUGCCGCUGUGGUCGAUCCUGGAGAGCUACACCCGCAUCCACAACGUCAUCCACACGAAGCUGUUCAGUCACGAGGUCGACACCGGCGCGUGGGGCUACGCGCUGAACCGCCUGCCGGACAACCUGACCUCAACUUUUUGCUUCGACCUCGUGCACGCCCUCCCGCCCUUCAUUGCAAGCCGCAUGAAAGUCGAGGCGCGAGCGGCCGACACGCGCAAGACGGCAGACGGCUUGGCGCGCACGCGCAGUAUGCGGACGGCCAUCACGUACAUUCGUACAAGGGAACGCCGUCGCUGCACGUGGCAUCUCGGGAUGGAGGGAAAGACACUCGUGCUGCUGCGCGACGGCUUCACGGAUCUGCUCGACUUCUUGACAAUGCUGUGCGUGCACAUCAUCGAGAGCAACAAGCUUCGUGGCCGCAUGCAGGGCAUGGUGCACCCUCCGGCGAUCGACGUGCUUGACGAGUACCUGCGGCAGCGCGAGCAGGAGGAGCUGGAGGGCAAGUACCUGGCAGCCGACGGUGUCACGCGCGACACCGAGAUGCAGCGCGUGCAGACGAUCCUGAAGCGCAUGCCGCUUACGGAGGGGGAGCAGGCUGGCCUGCUGCGCAACUGGGGGCAUAACACGCUCCUGCGCCUUUACGAGAUCAUGAUGCACCGCGAAGAGUACAACGUGCGCGUCGAUCCGAGCCUGUCCCUUAAGUUCCAGACAAACCCCUUCCACGAAUGGGCCCUGAACCUGCGCAGUUGCGUGCUCGAGAAGCUCGGGCUUGACCGCUUCUCCGCGCUGCCAGACGACCUUUGCAUCGACGUCAUCAGCAGCAACACCCACUGCAUCAAGAAUCUGCUCUGCAGCUUCAACCGCAAGUAUCGCAAUGAAAUCCUGGAUUAUGUGCGCCUCUCCGAGAGCAAGCGACUCGGGCGGCCGGAGGAGUGGCACAACAUGGAUGACAUGCUCUACGCCGCCCUCACAGGUUUCUUGCAGAACGAGCGGCCGGACUUGAAGGAGGAGUACAACCGCAGCCUCGAGCAGAGCGGUAUCACGGUGCUGCAGGACACGGCCAUGACGGGGCUGCAGGUGGACGUCAUCCCGGUGCACCUGCUCAACUUCAACACGAUUGAUGAAGCGAUACGCGAUGCGAUGCACGCGCACUACGUGGAGGCGACCAAGAGCUACAACGGCGAAGGCGAAAGCGAGGCAAGCUCCUCGCAAGUGCCUACGUGGUCGCAGGUAUGCAAGCCGAUCUGGCGGCGCUCCUCGGAGGGCUCGCCGAUUCGCGUGCCGGGGUGCAUGACGACGAGCGGCAGAAAGAACAUCUCAGCCAACGCCGCGGCUGGCGCGGCGCCGCUAGACGGCGAUGGCGACGCGGGUGGCGAGCUCAGCCCCACCGGUUACGAUGGGUCGGCGAGUGCGAAUGAGAGCCUCAGCACGCCCCGCGGGGCCCCGAUGAGUCACCUCGGCAGGAAUGGCCGGCGGCAGCAGCACUUCCUCAUCAACAUGGACUUUGCGUUUGGCGCGCAGGCCGAGGGUAUCUGCCGCGUGAUAUUCAGCGCUUUUGGCAAGCGCAUCCGCAGCGUCAGCGUCAUGGGCAAGGCCGGUGGCCUCACCGGCAAGCGCGGCGACAUCCAGCUUGCUAGCCACGUCCUCCUCUCCAAGUCCUCGCUCAUCCUCGAGGACAACCAGGACGAGCUGCGCAACUGCCGCAACCAAGACCUCACGGCGCAGCGGCUGCAGGAGCUGGCCGGCCCGCGUGUCAAGGUGCACCACGGCAAGGUGCUGACCGUGACGGGAACGAUGCUGCAGAACGUGUCCCUCUUGCGAUACUACCAGCAAGUGUGGCGCUGCAUCGGGACGGAGAUGGAGGGGUCGUACUUUGCGCGUGUCAUCGAAGACUUCUACCGACAAGGCAUCGCCCACCCCGGGCUGACGACGCGCUUCGCCUACUACACGAGUGAUCUCCCCCUCGCGCAGAACGAUGCUGAGAUGGAGGCGCGGCGGACGCACCGGCUGCCGGCUGGCGGUGCGACGCUGUCGGCGCCCAUGAGCCCGCAGGAGGGUGUGCCGCCGCUCUACGCGAUUGCGCGUGGCAUCUUGGAGAAUGUGCUGCUGUAAAGGACCGAGCAGAAGGCCGCAAGCACACACGCGGCGCAUCCUGCCCUGUUCGGCGUGUUCCUCCCACACUUCUCGCCCUCAUCACUUCUCUUUUUUUUUUCGGACGCCUUUUCGUUGUUGUUCUCGGGUAGUGCGCAGUGCCGGGAGUGCUCGGCGCCUCGCCUAUACUACCUCUUGCGCCCACGCAGAUGCACAUGUGCAUUGGCGGCUUUGUUUUUCUCGUGUGCGUGUGUGUGUGUGUGUGUGUGUAUUGCCUUCUCGUUGAUUCUCAUGCAGUGGGCCCGGCAUAGGCGUCCGCAAUGGACGUGCGUGUGUGGGUUGGGUGGCGUGUGGAGCUGGAGAGAUGCUGAUCGCAGUUCACAUCAUCGUUUAAUCGUUGAGCAACGGUGUUGUGCUCUCUGUCUGCCCGCCCGUGUGGGUGUGUGGGUGUGGGUGUACGUUGGUAUAGCAUCUGCGCAGUAAGCGCACGGCGUAUGCCCCAUUCUGCCACCCCCCCCCAACCCCACCCCCUUCCUGUUCUUUGGUGGUGACGAUAAGCGGGACUGUUCGUUGCUUUCUCGGCUCGUAUUUCUUUUCUCCCC
rnacentral:misc_RNA from 1 species